rnacentral:rRNA from 1 species
GAUGAACGCUGGCGGCGUGCCUAAUACAUGCAAGUCGAGCGAACAGAUAAGGAGCUUGCUCCUUUGACGUUAGCGGCGGACGGGUGAGUAACACGUGGGUAACCUACCUAUAAGACUGGAAUAACUCCGGGAAACCGGGGCUAAUGCCGGAUAACAUUUAGAACCGCAUGGUUCUAAAGUGAAAGAUGGUUUUACUAUCACUUAUAGAUGGACCCGCGCCGUAUUAGCUAGUUGGUAAGGUAACGGCUUACCAAGGCAACGAUACGUAGCCGACCUGAGAGGGUGAUCAGCCACACUGGAACUGAGACACGGUCCAGACUCCUACGGGAGGCAGCAGUAGGGAAUCUUCCGCAAUGGGCGAAAGCCUGACGGAGCAACGCCGCGUGAGUGAUGAAGGUCUUCGGAUCGUAAAACUCUGUUAUUAGGGAAGAACAAAUGUGUAAGUAACUGUGCCCGUCUUGACGGUACCUAAUCAGAAAGCCACGGCUAACUACGUG